AUAUGACAAGUGGCAAUAUAGAUCCACAUCAGCUAUUUUAUUUAUUUUAUUCUCAUUAAUUAAUUAAUCAUUAUAGUACACAAAAUUUAUUCAAAACCAGUCGUACUCCCUUGGCUUUUGUCCCUUGGCUAACAAAAGUUCCAUCUACCUUCCCUCAACAGCAAUUCGCCGCCACCACUGUUCACCGCCACAGCCGCCUUCGCCGCGCCGGCCACCGUCGUGACAAGCCCUCCGAUCUGCCAUCUCCUCUGUUUCAACAAUUAAAUUAGUGAUAUGCCACCUCUCCAUCGCCGCUUCUUUCUUUUGUACUCACGCUUGCCGCCUCCCCAUUUUCGCCGCGCCGGCACUCCGACUCCGAUGCUCUCAACACUAAUGACUAUUGCUCUGCUCUCAACCAUGGAUUCGCCUCGCCGGCACCCACCGCGAAUCGCCGCGCCCCUAGAUCCCCAAAUCCUCACCGCCUCUUUGCGAUUUCCGGCAACCACGGCAGCCAUGGCCGCCGAUCUGCCCCUCCCACCACCAGAAAACCAGAAAUCGAUCUGUCACCUCCCUUCCCCCAUAUGAUUUUUGGUUCUAGGUGCUUGGUCCAGAACCGCCGCUCGCCAGCCGCUGUGUUGCAGUCGCCCACUCCUAUUCUCACUUCAACUAACUCUAUGAGGGAGUAAGCGAUUGCUUUACUUCAUUCGCUUGCGUUGUGGAGCCAUUUUACACUGCAUUAGAGUAAUUCUCCAAACAUAAAGGAGAUAACAGUGUUGGACAAGAAAAGAGCGAGGAGGGCCAAGUUUUAUUAUGUUAAAGAUAGAAUGAAUCCACUUAGGAAGAAUUAAAGUUCUGCUUUGGAUAGUGGAUAUGGAAAAGUCACGAAUAUGUGCUGAUGGUGGGCACACUUUUAAGCAGAAGGAUUUUAUAAACUAAUAAACUUGAAGCUCAAGUCAAGUGGAUGACCUGAUUGUUCGUGACCUAUGAUGUAAUUACUUGCCAAAUUUGAACUAUCAUUUGAUUUCUGUGUAUAUAAAUCCAUCAGAAUAUUACCGAUUGAUUUUAAAUUAAUAUAUGA